GGUUCUACUGACUGAAGUGAUCCUAUCUUGUGACUCAUGCAUGGCACGUCUAUAAGUCAAGCUGGAAUCCUCUAAAAUAAGUCACAUGGGAAAAAAUUCUGAUCUUAUUCUAGACGAAGAAUGAAAAGCCAGGAAGCUACAUAACCCAAGGGUCCCCAGUUUGAAAUGUCUUGUUACUGCUGACAAGACCUGCAUGACUGACCAUUUGCUCCCUAAGAGAUGAAAACUGACAUUGCUUUGAAGUUCAAAAUGACAUUGCCAAAACAAGAAGAAAUGGAAAAUAACUGCAGCACGUUUAUGACAUUCGUUUCUUUCUCCACAUGAAACAUACAAUGAGAACACUUUAUAGAUGAAUUGUGUCUUCGAUUGAAUAGAGAAUGGUGGACUAGCUUUGGUUUUAUGGAAUUGGAUAAUUUGUCAUAGUUUCUGUCCCUGGAAAAAUGAGAACCCAAAGGAAAACAAGUGGAAAGCCUUUAAAAAAUAAAAAAAAAAAAAAA
rnacentral:lncRNA from 1 species